GUCGAGUGAAGGGCCAGUAACCCAGCUCCAGUUGCAGCACCGCGGGAUCGACACGCUCCAUUCCCCUGCACCUGAGGGGCCCAGUGUUCCAAAAACGUCAGGACUGGUCUGAACUGUGAAACCUGAAGGAACCGCCCCUCCGGGAGGGAUUGGCGUCCUCGGGAGGGUGAAGGUCAUGUCCAGGAGGAUUGUUUCAGCAUCAGUGCAGAAGGAAGAGGAGCAAAGGGAGCAUUUGCACUGUGCAGCAUGUGGGAUCUUACUUCCCUGACCAAGGAUCAAAUUUGCACCCCCUGCAUUGGAAAUGUGGAGUUCUCACCACUGGAC
ensembl:lncRNA